rnacentral:misc_RNA from 1 species
GAUGAAGAACGUAGCGAAAUGCGAUACGUAGUGUGAAUUGCAGAAUUCAGUGAAUCAUCGAAUCUUUGAACGCACAUUGCACCUCUCGGUAUUCCGGGAGGUAUGCCUGUUCGAGCGUCAUUUGUACCCUCAAGCUCUGCUUGGUGUUGGGUGUUUGUUCCGCCUCUGUGUGUGAACUCGCCUCAAAACAAUUGGCAGCCGGCGUACUUGUUUCGGAGCGCAGCACAUUUUGCGAUCCAGAUCAACGUACAGCGGCAUCCAAGAAGCCUUAUUUAACGCUCUUGACCUCGGAUCAGGUAGGGAUACCCGCUGAACUUAAGCAUAUCAAUAACGGAGGU